rnacentral:rRNA from 1 species
UCAAGCGUGAGGUAAGAGCAUUUGGUGAAUGCCUUGGCAUAUACAGGCGAUGAAGGACGUGGCACGCUGCGAUAAGCGUGGGGGAGCCGUGAGCAGGCUUUGAUCCCACGAUUUCCGAAUGGGGGAACCCAUCCUCACUAUUUAAUUUCGCUGCUGAGCAAUCAGUGUCGGAGUUAAAUAGGAAGGAUAUCACUUAGCUGAAUAAAAUAGGCUUAGUGAAGCGAACCCGGAGAACUGAAACAUCUCAGUACCCGGAGGAAAAGACAUCAACCGAGAUUCCGUUAGUAGUGGCGAGCGAACGCGGACCAGGCCAGUGCCUGGUGUUUAAUUAGCAAAAGCUUCUGGAAAGUAGCGCCAUAGUGGGUGACAGCCCCGUAUGCGAAAAUGAAACAUCAGGACUUGAGUAGGGCGGGACACGUGUAAUCCUGUCUGAAUAUAGGGGGACCACCCUCUAAGCCUAAAUACUCGUAUAUGACCGAUAGCGAACUAGUACCGUGAGGGAAAGGUGAAAAGCACCCCGAUGAGGGGAGUGAAACAGUACCUGAAACCGAAUGCUUACAAUCAGUUGGAGCCUCUUUAUGGGGUGACAGCGUACCUCUUGUAUAAUGGGUCUGUGACUUAAUGUAUCAUGCAAGCUUAAGCCGUUAGGUGUAGGCGUAGCGAAAGCGAGUCUGAAUAGGGCGACUGAGUAUGAUGCAUUAGACCCGAAACCCGGCGAUCUAUGCAUGACCAGGUUGAAGGUGCGGUAACACGCACUGGAGGACCGAACCGUUCAAUGUUGAAAAAUUGUCGGAUGAGUUGUGCUUAGGGGUGAAAGGCCAAUCAAGCCGGGAAAUAGCUGGUUCUCCGCGAAAACUAUUGAGGUAGUGCCUCGGAUGUUUUCCGAUGGGGGUAGAGCACUGGAUGGAUGCGGGGGUCGCGAGAUCUACCAAUUCUAACCAAACUCCGAAUACCAUCGAGUUAGUCCGGGAGACAGACGGCGGGUGCUAAGGUCCGUCGUCAAAAGGGAAACAGCCCUAACCUACAGCUAAGGUCCCCAAAUCAUAUCUAAGUGGUGAAGCAUGUGGGAUUUCCAAAACAACCAGGAGGUUGGCUUAGAAGCAGCCAUCCUUUAAAGAAAGCGUAACAGCUCACUGGUCUAAAUAAGAGAUCCUGCGGCGAAAAUGUAACGGGGCUAAAGAUAUGUACCGAAGCUUAGGGUGUGCAAUUUAUUGCAUGCGGUAGCGGAGCGUUCCGUAGGCCGAUGAAGCGAUCUGGUAAUGGGUCGUGGAGGUAUCGGAAGUGCGAAUGCAGACAUGAGUAGCGAUAGGAGGGUGAGACACCCUCCCGCCGAAAGACCAAGGGUUCCUGCUUAAAGCUAAUCUGAGCAGGGUAAGCCGGCCCCUAAGACGAGCCCGAAGGGGGUAGUCGAUGGGAACCACGUUAAUAUUCGUGGGCCUGGUGGUGUGUGACGGAUCUCGUGAGUUGUAUCUCCUUAUUGGAUUGGAGGUGCUUCGAAGAGGUUCCAGGAAAUAGCCCCACCGUAUAGACCGUACCCGAAACCGACACAGGUGGUCAGGUAGAGUAUACCAAGGCGUUUGAGAGAAGUAUCCUGAAGGAACUCGGCAAAUUGCCUCCGUACCUUCGGAAGAAGGAGGCCCUCACAUUGCGCAAGCAGUAUGAGGGGGCACAGGCCAGGGGGUAGCGACUGUUUAGCAAAAACACAGGACUCUGCUAAGUCGGCUUCAAGACGACGUAUAGGGUCUGACGCCUGCCCGGUGCUGGAAGGUUAAGAGGAGGAGUGCAAGCUCCGAAUUGAAGCCCCAGUAAACGGCGGCCGUAACUAUAACGGUCCUAAGGUAGCGAAAUUCCUUGUCGGGUAAGUUCCGACCUG